GGACUCCGUUGGAAGAGUGUAUGACUCUUGAUCUCAGGGUUGCAGGUUCAAGCCCCACACUGGGUGCAGAGAUUACUAAAAAUAAACAAACUUUUUAAAAAAGGCAUUUUAGGGUCUAUGAAUUACAGCUCAAUAAGACUGUUACAAAAAUACUUUUAAAAAUAAACUGGCUGUGCAGGGCUCCACCUAAGACACAGGGAUGAAUCCACAGAGCGAGUAGCGAGGAGCUCAGCUCGGGGCUCGUGAUCAACCCUGCGGAAGGGCCUCUGGUGGGAAGGUAAGUUUGGUGGGCCUGCCCCUGGGCUACUUUUCCCCACUGCCUGGCUUAGUGACUUGUAUCCUAUCCUUAAGUACUUAUUACUUUGACACGUGAAGGCUUUUAAUAAUCAAGAGCCUCCUAUUAACAUGUAAAUACUCCUUGGAGAGUUCUAGAAUAGCAGUGUCUCCUGAAGGUGGAAGGCAGUCUUGGAGGAGAAGCUGCUGGCCCCCUGCCUUGCAAUGCGUUAGCAUGGGUAUUGCAAAAAUGCUGAGGCUCAGCUGAGCCGGCAGCCGCAGCCACAGCCACAGGGGCCCACGGGGAUAGGAGGAGGGGGUUGCAGCAGGGGGCACUUGCCUGACUCUGGAGACAGUGAUGGCAGGUGAGAGCAGGUGCGGGAUGGAUAUGGGACAGAGAAAAGAGGACAUGAAGUCUGUGAAUGGUGGAGCUUUUCAGUGCAUCAUGAGAGGGGAAGGUAGGGCAUGGCAGGGACAAGCCUCCACAUCCCACACUGAGGUCCCUAACCUCCCUUCACCGCGCUGCACUCCCACAUGUGACAGUGUGGGCACUUAGAGUACAGGCAGGAAAAGACCUCUAGGAGAUUUACAACAGACCAGGAGACAUGAAGGAAAUCGGGGGGCACAGUGUCACCAGCCAGCAUGGCAUGGCAGGGCCGGAGGGCUCCACACCAGGACGAAGGGGUCGCUAAAGAUUAGGGACAGGCCACAGGCCACAGUGGCAGAGCCAGCACGGUAAGCCCAAGGCUCCUCUGCCUCAGGGAGCUGAGUGUGGGCUGGUUCUGCACAAACUGAACAGAAGCGAUGCUAAGGACCGCGGCCAGCCCUCACUCGCUUCAGUAGAAGGAUCUGCACUAAGAAACCUGUCGGCAAUCAAUGCACUGCCAUUCCUUCCUCCUGUCGGUAAACACUUACCGAAGGUCCAUCUGACACGGGACCUGUAGCAGGGCACUGAGCGCAUGGAGAGAUUGACUCUGGGUCCCCGAAUGCAGUGGAGACGGAGUCACAUCCAAAGUCAAAAAGAAAGCAGAAGGUGUUCCUCCUGUGGUCCUUCCCAGAGAAAGCUAUUCUCCUUUUAAAUCCAGAGGGGCAGCGUGAAUUCAGAGAAGCAGGUUGGGGGUGGGGGCAUAGGCAGUGUCACCACCUCCUAUUUUGUGAGCCGGUAUUGCCCGACGGGCCUAGAGACAGGGCAGGCAGGAAGGGGAGAAGGAAGGCCCGUCUGAGAAGCCACGGCCACAUGGCGAAGCUGCUGCUGUAUAGAGAAGCAGGAAAGCCAUCCUGCCUCAGUGGUUCUCAAACUUGAACAUAUCAGAAUCACCUGGCAUAGAUUCUGGGUCCCGCCCCAGCAUUUCCCCUUUGGUAACUCUGGGUGGAAUCUAGGAAUCUGCAUUUCCACUAGGUCCCCGGAUCAUAGGGAUACAGAUACUGCCCAGAGCCACCUCCCUACAUGAACCGUCUCACCUGUGUUCCCAGGUCACCUGAGCAGAUGGGUCCUGUGAAGAUACAGGAGAGCUAGAAGGAAGGGCCCAGCGUCAAACAGGCUGGCUGGAGAGAAACAGGAAGAGGGGCUCCAUAAACAACACAAGCAGGGGCACCUAGGGGGCUCAGUCAGUUAAGCAUCCAACUCUUGAUCUCAGCUCAGAUCUUUUGUUUUGUUUUGUUUUUAAGAUGUAUUGAUUUAUUUUAGAAAGAGAGAGAGCAUGUGCACAGGGUUGGCGGAGGAGCUGAGGGAGAGAGAGAGUCUUAAGCAGACUCCGUGCUAAGCGUGGAGCCCUACACGGGGCUUGAUCCCACAACCCUGAGAUCAUGACUUGAGCGGAAACCAAGAGUUGUGCACUCAACCAACUGCGCCGCCCAGGUGCCCUUCAGCUCAGUCAGGUCUUGAUCUCAAGGUCCUGAAUUCAAGCCUCACCCUGGGCAUGGAGCCUACUUAAACAACAAAACUCCCUACAAGUAGUAGAAUACUAAAAGGAGCUAACGUUUGAUUCCUUGUGCAGUUACAAUGUGCCGAGCACACUAUGCACUUUGUAAUUUAUCUCAUUUACUCCACACAACAGCCCUAUAGAGGUGGUGUCCUCGUAACCCCUAUUUAUACGUAUCAAGCAAUCAAAACGUAAGCAAGGUAAGUACUGGGGGGCGGGGGGGUCAAGAUUCACGUCCAGCCCAAGUGCCCUCAUCCUUAAUGGCGGUGCCCUGCUGCUGGCAAAGGAUGCAGAACUGACACCAGGAAC
rnacentral:lncRNA from 1 species